rnacentral:lncRNA from 1 species
UUUGAUAAAGUUUCAUUUUGAUUUUGAACAAUAAAGGUCAAUAUGGUUGUGUUUAGAGAUUGGGCUUUGGCCUAUUUGGGCCUUGGGUAUUGGAUAGGUUUUGGUAGGCAUGCCUCCACGUGUUUAAUUUCAUCAACUAAAUAGUGGAUAGCGAUUGGGGAUUAUAUUGCAAAUGUUUUAAUGAUUGAUUGAAGUAACAAUGUGAGAAAACUAUUAGUAUGGGGUCAAAGUGAUAAAAAUCAAUACUAUUAAGGGUAAAAGUGUUACUAACCCAUUGAAAAACUUGAGUUCAUGAAUAUGUUCACGUUUUGAACAUUUAUACUGAUUUUGGGUUAAUCACACUUUGCCCCUCGUAAAGUAUUGACCAAUUCUAACUUUUGGCUGUCAAACUAAAAAAUUUCAUCACGUUGCAUCUAAACCUUGCAACAUGUACAAUGAGCCAAUACUAAACACCCAUUCCCAAGAUCCAAGAUCCUAUAUCCAUGACCCCAUCCCACUACCCUCAACCUUACACCCAAUCCCCGAACCCAACUCAUUCCUCAUCCCCACCCUCGACAAUUCCCUUCGUCCGAACACCAACACAGCCCCGCCCCUUCCCACCACCACUAUUCCUUCUAGCCCUAACCCGAGAGAGAGAGGGUUUUCAAAUUGGAAAGCAAUCUGAAAGAGAGAGAGGGUGCCCAAGAUCCAAGAUCCUAUAUUCAUGACUCAAUCCCACUAUCCUUAACCCUACACCCAAAUUCCCAAACCCAACCCAUUCCUCAUCUCCACCUUCAACAAUUCCCGGUCCGAACACCACCACAGCCUUGCCCCUUUCCACCACCACUGUUCCUUCUAGCCCUAACCCCUGGGGAGAGAGGGUUUUCAAAUUUGAGAGAAAUAGAAAAGAGAGAGGGUUUUGCAACCUGAAAAAUAGAGAGAGAGAGGGGCAAGGGGCGCGUUGGUCGUGACAUGUAAUUCGAUGAGAGAGAGGGGCAAGGGGCGCGUUGGUCGUGACACGUAAUUCGAUGGUUGUUCGCGAUUUCGUGGAGGUUGUGGUUGGUUUUGGC